rnacentral:rRNA from 1 species
GCACAAGCGGUGGAGCAUGUGGUUUAAUUCGAAGCAACGCGAAGAACCUUACCAGGUCUUGACAUCCUCUGACAAUCCUAGAGAUAGGACGUCCCCUUCGGGGGCAGAGUGACAGGUGGUACAUGGUUGUCGUCAGCUCGUGUCGUGAGAUGUUGGGUUAAGUCCCGCAACGAGCGCAACCCUUGUCCUUAGUUGCCAGCAUUCAGUUGGGCACUCUAAGGAGACUGCCGGUGACAAACCGGAGGAAGGUGGGGAUGACGUCAAAUCAUCAUGCCCCUUAUGACCUGGGCUACACACGUGCUACAAUGGAUGGUACAAAGGGAAGCAAAACCGCGAGGUCGAGCGAAUCCCAUAAAGCCAUUCUCAGUUCGGAUUGCAGGCUGCAACUCGCCUGCAUGAAGCCGGAAUCGCUAAUAAUCGCGGAUCAGAAUGCCGCGGUGAAUACGUUCCCGGGC